AGCUGCAUAUAUCAAAAAGGAAAAACAUGUGAUUUGAAAAGCACUGGAUUAAUUAACCAUUUUGAGAAGAAUCUUUACUUUAUGCCCUUCAACGAAUUCACAUGACUAAGAAUCAGUUAAAUACAGAAGAUAAAAAGAAAAAAAGUCCAACAUUAUCAUACUCUAGUCUGGAAAUGGAUCAUACCAAGAAGAUAUCAUGUUGCAUAUACCAUUUGCAAACCCACCAAAGAAUCCACCGGGGCCAAAACCAGGUCCUCCGGGGCCAAAACCAGGGCCUCCGGGGCCAAAACCAGGGCCUCCAGGGCCAAAACCAGGGCCUCCGGGGCCAAAACCAGGGCCUCCGGGGCCAAAACCAGGUCCUCCAGGGCCAGGGCCCCAACCCCCAGGACCACCUGGUCCACCAGGUCCACCAGGUCCCAUCACAGUGCUCUACCCUGUGGAACUGAAGCAGAUACCACACACACGAAGAGGAAGAGCCAGAAAGAUAUUUCAGAGUCUGGAUCCAAUAUGAUAUUUGUGUAAGGAAGCCUAAGGAUCUAGAAUUUUUCCCCGCAUAUAAAGAAUAAAGUUCAUG
rnacentral:lncRNA from 1 species